UAGCACUGUAGUCCAUUGAGCGACUCCCCCUAGUGGCCUGGAGCACUUGCGUUGUAUCAGCUGGUGUUCCAGUAUUUGAAUAAUUUCUGAACAUGCAGCACCUUUCCUUUUUACAUUUGCUUCAACAUUCUGCAGUGUGUCUCUCACAGCACGUUUCCCUCACCGUUUCUGCUUUCGUUUUUCAAACGUGAUCACACCUGUGGGCCAUCGUACAUACUGUAAGAAAGAGUAAGUAUCUCCUGUACUUUUUAUCCCAGAGAUGCAAGCAACUUAUUAAUGUCAUGUUUACCAGAAGACAAUAUAAAAAAAAUAAGCGUAAAAGCUCACAUAUAGCUGCUUUAUUGUGAAGUUGAGGAUAACGGUACACAACAAAACCCAAAAGCAUUGCUUUGCCAAAUUAAUGUUAACAGCUUUUGGGGGAUUCUAGAGCUAAAAUAAGGUCUAAUCCCUAUAAACCCUUGUUGUUUAGAGUAAACAUAACAAUGUACUGUUUACUUAGGAAAAAGACACACAAUGCAAAAUGGCCCAGUGGAUACAUGUUUUGAUUGACACGCUUGUAGUUCUAGGCUUCACUGCCUGCAAGGCCAGCCUGACCUUUGAAAUACUUCAAUGGUCCGGUUCCCACAUACGCCUCUCCUCAUUACUACACACUUAAACUCAAACCAAUAUCCUCUACAAGAGAAUGUUCAUUCAUACAUGUACAUAGGCUCAUAAAUGAGAGCCAUCUAUUAUUGAUCACUUACAGCAAGGGGCGAAGCUAAUUGCCUUUGCAUCCCAGCACGUUAAAUCAAAUGUUGAGGCAGACGUGACCGUGACAAUUUUGACAGCAGACUCGCCUCAACAAGUGGACAAGAGGCACAACGUGUGAGGCUCAUUGCCGUCGUUUGCUCGGACUUAGCGGACUUAGCGACUCUGGAGGUGUUGCUGCUUUGAGCUCAUGCUUUACAGUUAAUGGUUGGCAUUUAUAUAGCACCUUUAUCCAAAGCGUUGUACAAUUGAUGCUUCUCAUUCACCCAUUCAUACACACACUCACACACCAACAGCGACUGGCUGCCAUGCAAGGCGCCGACCAGCUCAUCAGGAGCAUUUGGGGGUUAGGUGUCUUGCUCAGGGACACUUCGACACAGCCCGGGCGGGGGAUCGAACCGGCAACCCUCCGACUGCCAGAUGACUGCUCUUACUGCCUGAGCCAUCUCGCCCCCAGUUGAGGACAAUACACCGCUUUGUGGAAGGAGCACCCGGGUAAGCACCAAAGGAAGGGGGGCAAGCUGCCAGAUCGGGGAGCGGAGAGCGUCGUCUGAAAGGCCCCGGCAUAAUUGGCAGGCUCUCUCCCGCUGUGAUGUCAGCAGUGUUUGUUUAUUCAUUAACAUACUUUAAUUGAUUUUUUUGAGUCCUAUGGUUCAGAAGUCCCCUCUUUGGGAGGGGUUCAGGGGGUGUGAGAGGUGAGCACUGGCAGACGGGAUGGAACGGUGUGUGUGUGUAUGUGCGUGUGCUUGUGUAUGUGUGCUUGUGUGUGUGUGUGUGUGUGUGUGUGUGUGUGUGUGUGUGUGUGUAUAUGUGCGUGUGCAUGUGUGUGUGUGUGCUUGUGUGCGUACUGCAUGUCCUUAGAUAUAAAGGGAUGAAUGGGUAAAUAAGAGUGCAAGAGAGCCAAAGCAUAAAAUAUCACACCACUAGAUGUCCCCAGGCAUUCCUGACAUGUUUCUCUAUUUUAGACCAGUGUUUCUUUCCAAAGCCGCUUUGCUGAUCUGUUGUAAUUGGUGAGCUAGUUAUUAAGUAUAUCACAUCAUUUUAUUAGAAAUGCCAGUUUGUGCCAAAAUAAGACCACUUCAUAAUUCUUUUCCAGUUUGAUGGACAUACAAUUGGUGGUGGGGGGAUUAAACAAGACGCAGAAAGAACCAGGGUUGGGAGGCAAAUUUUAAUGUGAGCAUCACUUUAGACCUCCAGACCACAGAAUAUGAAUUCUGCUCAUGUUGAUGUCAUCACGACUUCACACCUAAGAAAUGUUUAAUGUGAAUCAUAAUUGAUUUAUGUGCUGCCAUUACAUUUCGGAAGCUGUUGCUGCUCCUGUUAUUUGGGCUGACAAAGGUUACCUUGGUAUUUCAUUAUGCAUGGCACAGAGUGCAGUGGGGUGCCCCCGACCCGUAUCAAAUCUGUGCCAUGCCACAGAAAUGGCACUGUCCCCUCUCAGAUGGAGACGUGGGGUGUGCCAUCAUGGAAAUAGCCCAGGGCUGGCAAUGCAGCUUUGUUCCCAGCGUUUGAGUAAUACUGUGAAUCACAUGCAGCAAAAUCUUCAAAUUAAGAUAAACUUGAGUACUUUUAACUCAAAUGGAGUUCAUAUUGGCCAUAUUGCUCUCAUAAAAACACUGCUAUACAAUUUGGAUUUCGCUGUUUUACUGCACAAGACCAAAAGAGACGCAUUGCACGCACAGCUUGUGCAGUGAAAUCACCUCAAGGGCAGCUGCCCUGGAAGUAAUCAUUUUUCUCUAUUCAAGUUGUUGAAAGUUGUAUUUUUUCCUCUCGGAUGGUGCUCUCAAAACCCAUGUGACCGCACUGGGCUUGUUCGCCGACCCUGAAGGAAGACAAACGUCAUUCAAGGCGCAUCGACGCAUGCUCAGCGAGCACACACUCUUCCAACAGCAGCCUGGGCAGUCUUUCUCCGCUACGCUGGCACAGGCAAGGCAAAUAGAGCAUACUGGUUAACAUCUUGCCAAGGCAUUGAAAUCGGCACCAGUACCCAGGUGUAGCUGUCCAGGCCUACCUCAGCGGGUUAAAAUACACGGCUCCAGCUGCUAGACAAGUGAAAUCACUGUUUCCUCUCCAAAAGAGGGGUGCGACGUUAGACAGGAUUCUGUACAAACAUAACCCAGUCUCGUCUCUUAUCCUGCGUCCAGUAGUGCAACAUCUGUCCACCAUUUUGUAAAAAGGUGGCCGUUCCCUCGGCUCAGUGACAUCACAAGAAGAGUCUCUUCAGCUGCACAUGAGAUGCCUUCAUCAAAAUCACCUCUGUGAAAGCCCGCCUGGAGGCUGCAGUGUGAUAAGAAAUGGCACUUGACACAUUCACAUUUCAGAGGAUAGCUGGGGGUCCAGUUAUAAGCACUGAUGUACCAUUUGGUAAUAGGCAAAAAACAAAUAGCCCAACACUACGGCAUUAUUUUUUUAACAUGUCAGUGGGGCUGCAUGCUCCCGAUAACCAGUGUAUUCUAUAAUGAGCAGUGUAAAUGUCAAUGUACAGUGAGUUCCAGAAUUAUUGGCACCCCUGACUGGCAAUGGACAAAAAAUAGCGCAAAUCUCCUUUUAUGCAACUCUGUUUCAAUGCCUAAUAUACCAAUGCUGUAUCUGACCAAAAUGUUCAAUUUAGUCUCAUCUGAUCACAGCACCUUUUUUCAAUCAAACUGUAAAUGACCAAAUGAGACCAAGUAAGACCAUAAUUUAAUGUUUUGGUCAGCAAAGGCACAGGCAUGUUUGGCAUUGUAACAGAGAUACAUGUCAGACCCAAGUACGGAGGUGGUCAGCAAUGUUUUGGGGCUGUUUUAAUUCCGGAUGUCCAGGGGCACUGGUUACAAUCAAUGGUAUUCCACCAAGUAUCAGGUAAUUUUGCCUGACAAUCUGGUUGCUUCUACCAGGCUGAGACAUGGCUGUUGGUGGACUUUCCACCACGACAAUGCCCCAAAGCAUACCUCAGAAUCCCCACAGUCCAAUCCAAUCCAAUCAAAAACCUGGGGGAUGAACUGAACUGAAGGCUGACCAUCUAGGAAUGGUCCAAAAUCCACAACUGUUCUUUAAGCUUGUCAAGCAUUACAGGAAAAGACUUCAUGCUGUUGUUAUAUCCUUGCCAGAGGUGGAUGCACCAAGUAAUAAACCAGGGGUGGCAAUCAUUAUGGGACCUUGCUUUUUUUAUUUAAUG